rnacentral:rRNA from 1 species
CACCGGGCCCUGGUCUAGGUAUAGCAAUUAUACAGCGAAACUGCGAAUGGCUCAUUAUAUAAGUUAUCGUUUAUUUGAUAGUACCUUACUACUUGGAUAACCGUGGUAAUUCUAGAGCUAAUACAUGCUAAAAAUCCCGACUUCGGAAGGGAUGUAUUUAUUAGAUUAAAAACCAAUGCCCUCUGGGCUCUCUGGUGAUUCAUGAUAACUUCUCGAAUCGCAUGGCCUUGCGCCGGCGAUGGUUCAUUCAAAUUUCUUCCCUAUCAACUUUCGAUGUUUGGGUAUUGGCCAAACAUGGUCGCAACGGGUAACGGAGGGUUAGGGCUCGACCCCGGAGAAGGAGCCUGAGAAACGGCUACUACAUCCAAGGAAGGCAGCAGGCGCGCAAAUUACCCAAUCCCGACACGGGGAGGUAGUGACAAUAAAUACUGAUACAGGGCUCUUUCGGGUCUUGUAAUUGGAAUGAGUACAAUUUAAAUCCCUUAACGAGGAACAAUUGGAGGGCAAGUCUGGUGCCAGCAGCCGCGGUAAUUCCAGCUCCAAUAGCGUAUAUUAAAGUUGUUGUGGUUAAAAAGCUCGUAGUUGAACCUUGGGCCUGGCUGGCCGGUCCGCCUCACCGCGUGUACUGGUCCGGCCGGGCCUUUCCCUCUGUGGAACCUCAUGCCCUUCACUGGGCGUGACGGGGAAACAGGACUUUUACUGUGAAAAAAUUAGAGUGCUCCAGGCAGGCCUAUGCUCGAAUACAUUAGCAUGGAAUAAUGAAAUAGGACGUGCGGUUCUAUUUUGUUGGUUUCUAGGACCGCCGUAAUGAUUAAUAAGGGACAGUCGGGGGCAUCAGUAUUCAAUUGUCAGAGGUGAAAUUCUUGGAUUUAUUGAAGACUAACUACUGCGAAAGCAUUUGCCAAGGAUGUUUUCAUUAAUCAGGAACGAAAGUUAGGGGAUCCGAAGACGAUCAGAUACCGUCGUAGUCUUAACUAUUAAACUAUGCCAACUAGGGAUCGGACGAUGUAUAUAAUUGACUCGUCCGGCACUU